GACGAACGCUGGCGGCGUGCUUAACACAUGCAAGUCGAACGGAAAGGCCCUGCUUUUGUGGGGUGCUCGAGUGGCGAACGGGUGAGUAACACGUGAGUAACCUGCCCUUGACUUUGGGAUAACUUCAGGAAACUGGGGCUAAUACCGGAUAGGAGCUCCUGCUGCAUGGUGGGGGUUGGAAAGUUUCGGCGGUUGGGGAUGGACUCGCGGCUUAUCAGCUUGUUGGUGGGGUAGUGGCUUACCAAGGCUUUGACGGGUAGCCGGCCUGAGAGGGUGACCGGCCACAUUGGGACUGAGGUACGGAGCAGAGUGCAACGGGAGGCAGCAGUGGGGAAUAUGGCACAAUGGGCGGGAGCCUGAUGCAGCAACGCCGCGUGCGGGAUGACGGCCUUCGGGUUGUAAACCGCUUUCGCCUGUGACGAAGCGUGAGUGACGGUAAUGGGUAAAGAAGCACCGGCUAACUACGUG
rnacentral:rRNA from 1 species